rnacentral:rRNA from 1 species
UACAGAGGUCCCAAGCGUUGUUCGGAUUCACUGGGCGUAAAGGGUGCGUAGGUGGUGAGGUAAGUCGGAUGUGAAAUCUCCGAGCUCAACUCGGAAAUGGCAUUGGAAACUACCUUGCUCGAGGGUUGGGAGGGGGGACUGGAAUGCUUGGUGUAGCAGUGAAAUGCGUAGAUAUCAGGAGGAACACCGAUGGCGAAGGCAGAUCUCUGGGCCGUAACUGACGCUGAGGAGCGAAAGCAUGGGGAGCGAACAGG